rnacentral:rRNA from 1 species
UAGUAUUAGUUAUAUGCUUGAAACUUAAAGAAUUUGGCGGUAUUUUAAUCUUUUUAGAGGAACCUGUUCUGUAAUCGAUAUUCCACGUUAAAUUUUACUAAAUUAUUUGUAUAUCGUUGUCUAAAGAAUAAAUUUUCUAAAAUUUAAAUUAAAAUUUAUGUCAAAUCAAGGUGUAGUUUAUAAUUUAGUAGAAAUGGGUUACAAUAAAUUUAUUUAGGAUAUUAUUAAAGGAGGAUUUAAAAGUAAAUUAAUUUUAAUAUAAUUAA